rnacentral:rRNA from 1 species
CCCUACGGGAGGCAGCAGUGGGGAAUCUUCCGCAAUGGGCGCAAGCCUGACGGAGCAAUACCGCGUGAACGAAGAAGGUCUUCGGAUUGUAAAGUUCUGUCCUUAUCGAAGAGAGGGUAUAGAGUGAAAAAUGAUAUACUAGGACGGUAGAUGAGGAGGAAGCCCCGGCUAACUACGUGCCAGCAGCCGCGGUAAUACGUAGGGAGCGAGCGUUGUCCGGAAUUACUGGGUGUAAGGGGAGCGUAGGCGGGGAUGCAAGUUGGGUGUCAAAACUACCGGCUCAACUGGUAGUCGCACUCAAAACU